UCCGUUAUGGUGUAGUGGCUAACAUUAUCGCCUCUCAAUGUAACUUUGAUUAGCGCGAUAGCCCAGGGUUCGAUUCCCUGUAACGGAA
rfam:Moniliophthora roreri MCA 2997 sctg_0099_0002, whole genome shotgun sequence.